AUUAAGAAAUUCAAUGUGAGUGAUUCUCAAAAGAAGGUGGGAAAGAAGAAAGAUAAGAAGUCCAGUGUAUGUUGAUAUUAGUGGAGAAUCAAAUGCUUCAAACUCAAUGAACAAUUCUAAGGUUUGAAUUGUUGGAAUUAAAGAUCUGAGAAGAGAACCAUGGGAACUUUGAAUUUGUUUUUAAUGGAUGUUUUGAAUUAUUAAGUCUUUUGUGAUUUGCCGUUUAUGGAUUUUUGUUUUAAACUUGUUAAGUAUUUGGUGUUUAUGGAUU